rnacentral:rRNA from 1 species
AGUAUAUAUUUCCGGUCAAGAAACUAAGGGCGCAAGGCGGAUGCCUUGGCACCAGGAGGCGAAGAAGGACGUGACAAGCAACGAAAACCUCGAAUAGGAGCAAAUAUCCAGUAACUCGGGGGAAUCCGAAUGGGGAAACCUACUAGACACACUCUAGUAUCCAUACGUAAAUACAUAGCGUAUGGAGGCGAAUGUUCUGAACUGAAACAUCUAAGUAGGAACAAGAAAAGAAAGAAAACUCGAUUCUCUAAGUAGCGGCGAGCGAACAGAGACAAGCCCAUUAAAGUAAGCCUAAACUGAUAGACAAAUCUUAUGGAAAGAAGAACCAAAGAAAGUAACAGUCUUGUAGUCGAAAUCAGAAUAGAGACACUUUAAGAAG